CCUGACAGUGACGUCACCUCCAGAGGAGUCCAGCUCCUAGUGUCAGUAUCAACCCCAACUGUUCCCAGGAGGACCUGGUGGAGAACCCCCCCUUAGGGAUGGAAUGAGGAACAAGAACUGAGUACCCUGAAGAUCUAACUGAGGACCUGUCAGUCAAUCCACGUUUGACAGGACAGAAGAGACUCCGUAUAUCUCCAAGGUGGCCCUUCCAGAAUGUGAAAGCGGUUUACAACUGAGAUCAGUGUCUUACUGGAGGGCUCCAACUGCACAGAGCACAGACGACUGCCAUCUGCUAUCCACAGUGGGGUGUCUCUUCAGAACCUUUGGAAAAAGGUCGAGGUGAUGCUGUGAGAGCCAGAAGGGCCUCAACUGGAGCAGGAGAAGUGGGUGGGUCGCUCAUUCUAAUCACUUUGUUGCUCAUGGUUGUGUUCCUAUGGAAUGCGUUGUGGAGAGCAUUUGGUGCACUGAUGAGUAAAGGGACACAGGCCGGAAACAACAUUCAGUUGGGAUCUGACAGGAGAGGGUUCUGGAAGUUUAGAGUUAAACCCUCUGGAGACUAAGGAAAGUGAACAUGAAAUUAGGAAGAAGGAAAUCUGUAUAGAAUUCUGACUUAUUCUUUACACAUUAAAUG
ensembl:lncRNA